GUGUCAGCAGCCGCGGUAAUACGUAGGAGGCGAACGUUGCUCGGAAUUACUGGGCGUAAAGGGUGUGUAGGUGGCUGAGCAAGUCGAAGAUGAGAUCCCAGGGCUCAACCCUGGAAUUGUCUUUGAUACUGUUCAGCUUGAGGGUGGUCGAGGAAGACGGAAUUCCCGGUGGAGCGGUGAAAUGCGUAGAUAUCGGGAGGAACACCGGAGGCGAAGGCGGUCUUCUGGGCCACUCCUGACACUGAGGCACGAAAGCGAGGGGAGCGAACGGGCUUAGAUACCCCGGUAGUCCUAGCCGUAAACGAUGGGCACUAGAUGUUCCCACAUUUUGUGGGAGUGGCGAAGCUAACGCGUUAAGUGCCCCGCCUGGGGAGUACGGUCGCAAGGCUGAAACUCAAAUGAAUUGGCGGGG
rnacentral:rRNA from 1 species